rnacentral:tRNA from 1 species
UGGAGGUGCGGGGAUCGAACCCGGGCUUACAUGCAAAGCGAACGCUCUACCACUGAGCUACACCCCG